GAUGAAGAACGUAGCGAAAUGCGAUAAGUAGUGUGAAUUGCAGAAUUCAGUGAAUCAUCGAAUCUUUGAACGCACAUUGCGCCCUUUGGUAUUCCUUAGGGCAUGCCUGUUCGAGCGUCAUUUAAACCUUCAAGCUCAGCUUGGUGUUGGGUGACUGUCCGCCGCCUCCGGGCGGUCGGACUCGCCUCAAAUUGAUUGGCGGCCGGUACUUUGGCUUCGAGCGCAGCAGAAACGCGAUCUCGAGGCCGUCGUCCUGGCUCCCAGAAGCUAUCUUCACAAUUUUGACCUCGGAUCAGGUAGGGAUACCCGCUGAACUUAAGCAUAUCAAUAAGCGGAGGA
rnacentral:misc_RNA from 1 species